CCCCAGUUCCUGGUCCCCAGUUCCUGGUCCCCCCCUCACACAGGUCAGGCUGACUGACCUGUAGUUUCCCCGAUCCAUCAGAAAGUUUUCCUCAACUCAUUGUAGGAACCGUUUGGACUGCUCGUGUUUGUUCGAAUUGCUUACCCAGCAGAUGUCUGGGUCAUUGAAGUUCCCCAUGUGGACCAGUGCUCGUGAUUGUGAGGCUACUAGCAGCUGCUUGUAGAAGGCGUCGUUGACUUCCUCCUCCUGAUCUGGAGAGCUUUAGUAGACCCCCACCACCAUGUCUCCCAUACCAGCCCACCCCUUAAUUCUUACCCACAAGCUCUCCACCUGUCCAUCACCCUCCCCCAGCUGGAGCUGGCUACACUCUAAUUGCUCCCUCACAUAAGGGCUACCCCACCCCCUUGCUUUCCCAGCCUGUCUCUCCUAAAGAGGACGUAGCCCUCCAUGAUUGUGCUCCAGUCAUGCAAGCUGUCCCACCACGUCUCAGUGAUCGCAACGAGAUCGUGGCCCCGCAUCCGAACGCAGACCUUGAGCUCAUCCUGUUUAUUUCCCACGCUCCGUGCACUGGUGCACAAGCACUUUAGGGAAGCAGCAGUGACAGUGGUGUGAAAUGUGUUCAUCUGAUCUGUGGCAGUAUGGAACAAUGCUAGGGCUGCAUGGUAUGAUGAAUGUGACCUUCUGUCCUACAGACCCUUGUACAAGCACAAGUCUAAGAAAAACAGAGUGGUUAAUGCACAUGUAUGUAGUUCUUGUACCUUGCAAAGGAAUGUUUUAGCAAUUCGUGUCAAUAGAGAGCUUGAAGGGAAAUGUAUUUGUAGGCUUUUCCUUUAAGUCUCUGAUACCUGGGGGGGUUCAGAAUAGCUGCUAACUAUUAUGACUAUUGCAUGGGACACUAUGCAAGUCUCUGGUAUCCAGCCAGGAGAUUAAGGAGACGGGGAAAGCUGAAGAACGACUAAAAGACAAAGCUUGCAGGGGAUGCUGCACAAGUCUCUGACAUACAGCCAAGCUGGACAAAGGAGAAGGACCAGAGGGAGGAAGACUAUGAGCCUUCUGCAUGAGAGACCCCCAGAGGGACCACCGGAGACUGUUACGCAUGCUCCAGUAGGAGG
rnacentral:lncRNA from 1 species